rnacentral:rRNA from 1 species
GUAACGGCGAGUGAAGCGGCAAGAGCUCAAAUUUGAAAGCUGGCUCCUUCGGGGUCCGCAUUGUAAUUUGCAGAGGAUGCUUCGGGAGCGGUCCCCAUCUAAGUUCCCUGGAACGGGACGUCAUAGAGGGUGAAAAUCCCGUAUGGGAUGGGGUGUCCGCGCCCGUGUGAAGCUCCUUCGACGAGUCGAGUUGUUUGGGAAUGCAGCUCUAAAUGGGUGGUAAAUUUCAUCUAAAGCUAAAUAUUGGCCGGAGACCGAUAGCGCACAAGUAGAGUGAUCGAAAGAUGAAAAGCACUUUGAAAAGAGAGUUAAAAAGCACGUGAAAUUGUUGAAAGGGAAGCGCUUGCGACCAGACUCGCUCGCGGGGUUCAGCCGGCAUUCGUGCCGGUGUACUUCCCCGCGGGCGGGCCAACGUCGGUUUGGGCGGUCGGUCAAAGGCCCUCGGAAGGUAACGCCCCCAGGGGCGUCUUAUAGCCGAGGGUGCAAUGCGACCUGCCUAGACCGAGGAACGCGCUUCGGCUCGGACGUUGGCAUAAUGGUCGUAAGCGACCCGUACUGCGGAGGAUCAUUACCGAGCGAGAAUUCUCUGAAUUCAACCUCCCACCCGUGUUUAUUGUACCUUGUUGCUUCGGCGGGCCCGCCUCACGGCCGCCGGGGGGCAUCUGCCCCCGGGCCCGCGCCCGCCGAAGACACCUUGAACUCUGUAUGAAAAUUGCAGUCUGAGUCUAAAUAUAAAUUAUUUAAAACUUUCAACAACGGAUCUCUUGGUUCCGGCAUCGAUGAAGAACGCAGCGAAAUGCGAUACGUAAUGUGAAUUGCAGAAUUCAGUGAAUCAUCGAGUCUUUGAACGCACAUUGCGCCCCCUGGUAUUCCGGGGGGCAUGCCUGUCCGAGCGUCAUUGCUGCCCUCAAGCCCGGCUUGUGUGUUGGGUCUCGUCCCCCUUCCCGGGGGGACGGGCCCGAAAGGCAGCGGCGGCACCGCGUCCGGUCCUCGAGCGUAUGGGGCUUUGUCACCCGCUCUGUAGGCCCGGCCGGCGCUUGCCGAUCAACCAAAACUUUUUUCCAGGUUGACCUCGGAUCAGGUAGGGAUACCCGCUGAACUUAAGCAUAUC